CUCUUGUUAAAAUGUGGUGCAAAUUAGUGGUUGAGGUAAUAUGAUUAAUAAAUGGAAUAGUUUUGACUGUUCUGAAUGUUUGGUCUCCAAAGUAAAGGUCAAACAAUGUCAACGUCCAUUGGAUUCUAUGACAUGUGACAUAUGUUACCCUGUAACAUGAUAACUAAGCAUGACA